CAGGCAUCUAAUGCUGAACCACAUACUGUAUGCCUGAAGCCAAGUUUAUUUUGAAUAUCAAAGCAGAAGUUCUUACUUAUGAGCAAAACUAAUUCUCAGUAUGUGAUGGGUGUGUGUCUAUCAAGAGCACUGACGUCCCCUUCCUCCUCCAUAAAGAAAUCCUGUUGCAGAGAAGAAAACAGAGAAGUGGUUUACUUCCGCUCUGUAUUUUAUUCCACUGCAUUUUUGCUGUGCUGUUGACUGGAUAAUUCCCCAAACACCUCUAUCGGCUAGCGACAACAGGAGGGAGAGCUGCAGCAGUGCCUUCUAUGGUUGAAUAAAACAGAAGCGUGUUCAUUCUGCGAAGAGAGA
rnacentral:lncRNA from 1 species